rnacentral:lncRNA from 1 species
CAGCACUGCUGACUGCAGCUGAGUGGAUGGCUGGAAGUGAAAUAUUUUGGUCACUGUAGUAAUUGCAGUAACCCUACCUUCCAGAAGGACUUCAGGCUUUUGCCCCGGGGCCCCUAACCAGGCUUUGAUACCUCCCUUGGCUUUUUCUGUUCUGUCUUUCUGUUUUUCUGUCUUUCCUGCCUCUUACCAGCUCCUCCGUGACUGCCGCAGCUGGUUUGCUGGACGUUAUCCUUACUGCUCUGCGAAUGCUUUGCUAACUAAAUUCACGGGUUCCCUUCUCCCCUUUUCUCCCGCAGAAGUUGAUGAUAAUACAGAAGAGUCGGAUGAAAGCUGUGUUUUGGCUUUCUCUGCAAGCUUUCAGUUCACUGCCUGCGAGUCUCUCGGUCUCAGGAGUGGCAGCUGCUGGUUUGAUUCCAUUUGUGAAACGCGGAGUACUCGAAGGGAGCUCUUCCUGGACCACCAAUACAGACGCACUCCUGAGAGCAGAAACCGGAAACGUCAG